GCUACAACACCCUCAGUCAAAACAACAGACCAGCGGUGCUAGAAAUAUAGAAAAAUAAGAAUCAAAAUGAACAUCCAUUUUGUCAAAAGAUCAGCAAACUUCGUCCAUCAAAUCCAAUUGAAAAUCACCUCCAAAACACUUCUAAAAAUCCAAAAAUCAACGAAAAAGAGCCAUGAAAUUCACUAAAAUUUGGAACUCGCGUUCGAGGUCCUGGAACUGCUACGCUUCCGUUUGCGUUCCGAUCGGCUGUCUCUGUUCGAGUCUUCUCCGUUGCGUACAUGGUCGUUUGUUUGAGUUUAGUUGCUGAAUUCAUUUUUUGACGCUGUACAAUACUUCGAUUUGGAGAUCGUUGUUUGAAUCUAUGGAAGAAGCUUAAAGGUCAAUCUUACUCUAUUAUUUAUGUUAUGUCGUAAACUUGUUCUUUGAGAUGUCCAUGCUAGAAGUUAAUGUUUUAUGGUCAUGUGAUUGUUUGG
rnacentral:lncRNA from 1 species